AUAAAGUUUUAUUCUGAUUUAAAUGUUAAAUUAAAUUUUUAGUUAUAUGUUAAUAUUAGUGUGGGGGAAUAUUAUUUCUUAAAAAGUUAUAAUAUACAUUAUAUUCGCAGUAAAUAGAAUUAAAUAUUAAGGAAAUUUAGAUUUAGAAUUAAUUUUUAGUAUUGGCAAAAUUUGUGCCAGCAGUUGCGGUUAUACAAAUAAUGCAAUUUAAUAUUAUCGGUUUUAAUUAGUUUGAUAAUAAAAGAAUUGAAUAUUUAAAUUUAUUGGGUGAAAUCUGAAGUUUAAGCCAAAAUUAAUUGGGGGGUUAAUGAGGUUAAGAAAUUUAUUAAAUAAACUAGGAUUAGAUACCCUAUUAUAGUAAGCGUAAAAUUUUAAGCUUAGUUACUAUUAGUUAUUUUCUUUAAAAUUAAAGAUUUUGGCGGUAUUUUAGUCUAUUUAGAGGAACCUGUCCUAUAAUCGAUAUUCCACGAUUAAAUUUAUCAAAAUUUUAAAUUUAUAUAUCGUCGUAAUUGAAUAUUUUAUAAGAAUUUAAAUAUUCAAGAUUUUUAAUAUGAAAAUAAAUCAGAUCAAGGUAUAGUUAAUAUUUUGGUUGUGGUGGGUUACAUUGAGGUUAUUAUGGAUAAAAAAUUUUAAAUUUUUUUGAAAUUGGAUUUAAAAGUAAUUUUUAAAUAUUUAAAAAAUGAUUUAAGCUCUAAAAUAUGUACAUAUCGCCCGUCGCUUUCAUUUAAAGUGAAAUAAGUCGUAACAAAGUAGUUUUACUGGAAAGUGGGUCUAGAAUUAG
rnacentral:ncRNA from 1 species